rnacentral:rRNA from 1 species
GAUGAACGCUGGCGGAGUGCCUAAGGCAUGCAAGUCGAACGGACUGUAGCAAUACAGUUAGUGGCAGACGGGUGAGUAACGCGUGGGAACGUACCUAAAAGUGGGGGACAACUCGCCGAAAGGCGAGCUAAUACCGCAUGUGAACGCAAGUUUAAAGUCGCAAGACGCUUUUAGAUCGGCCUGCGUCCCAUCAGCUAGUUGGUAGGGUAAUGGCCUACCAAGGCUACGACGGGUAGCGGGUCUGAGAGGAUGAUCCGCCACACUGGAACUGAGACACGGUCCAGACUCCUACGGGAGGCAGCAGUGGAGAAUUUUGGACAAUGGGGGCAACCCUGAUCCAGCCAUGCCGCGUGAGUGAAGAAGGCCUUCGGGUUGUAAAGCUCUUUCGGCCGGGAAGAAAUCGCAUCAGCUAAUACCUGGUGCGGAUGACGGUACCGGAAUAAGAAGCACCGGCUAACUACGUGCCAGCAGCCGCCGUAA